rnacentral:rRNA from 1 species
GUCGAACGGUAACAGGAAGCAGCUUGCUGCUUCGCUGACGAGUGGCGGACGGGUGAGUAAUGUCUGGGAAACUGCCUGAUGGAGGGGGAUAACUACUGGAAACGGUAGCUAAUACCGCAUAACGUCGCAAGACCAAAGAGGGGGACCUUCGGGCCUCUUGCCAUCGGAUGUGCCCAGAUGGGAUUAGCUAGUAGGUGGGGUAACGGCUCACCUAGGCGACGAUCCCUAGCUGGUCUGAGAGGAUGACCAGCCACACUGGAACUGAGACACGGUCCAGACUCCUACGGGAGGCAGCAGUGGGGAAUAUUGCACAAUGGGCGCAAGCCUGAUGCAGCCAUGCCGCGUGUAUGAAGAAGGCCUUCGGGUUGUAAAGUACUUUCAGCGGGGAGGAAGGCGACAGGGUUAAUAACCCUGUCGAUUGACGUUACCCGCAGAAGAAGCACCGGCUAACUCCGUGCCAGCAGCCGCGGUAAUACGGAGGGUGCAAGCGUUAAUCGGAAUUACUGGGCGUAAAGCGCACGCAGGCGGUCUGUCAAGUCGGAUGUGAAAUCCCCGGGCUCAACCUGGGAACUGCAUUCGAAACUGGCAGGCUAGAGUCUUGUAGAGGGGGGUAGAAUUCCAGGUGUAGCGGUGAAAUGCGUAGAGAUCUGGAGGAAUACCGGUGGCGAAGGCGGCCCCCUGGACAAAGACUGACGCUCAGGUGCGAAAGCGUGGGGA